GGGAGCCGCCUUCGGGAGGAGGCCGAUGGGGCGCGGGCAGAGCCACUGCAGACUAAAUAAGGGCGGCGGUGGCUGCCAGUGUGUGUGCGCGUGCGCCCAGCGGUGCCCCUUCACUGGUGGGGGCUUCCUCGCUCACGUCCGACUUCUCCAGGUCUCAGAAGAGUUGCUACUGUCGCCGCUACAUCCUUCCUCGCCAUUCCAUGAAACCCCGACACUACGCACGCUGACGCUGACCCCGACGCUGCGUCGAAUGCGGCGUCGGGGUCACCGUCAGCGUCCUAGCGUUGUGUGUGGCGUCGGGGUCAGCAUCAGCGUGCGUAGCGUUGGGGCCACGUAAACGUCGUGGGCGGGGCGGCUCAGCUCAUCGAAGGGCAGCGGCGAGGAAGGUUGCAGCAGCGGUGGUGGCGAUUCAUCUAAGACACCGAGCAGUCGGCUGCCAGCGAGGAAGCAGUGGUGGGGAGUCUCAGUCUUCGCUGGCGGCAGCAGCGGCCGAGGACCUGGAGAACCAGGAAGCAGUGGGUGUCGGCGUGGGCGUUCCGUGGGGCGUCCUGCUUUGGACAGCGCAGUUUGUGGGCAGGAAGUGGUGGCGGCGAGGAAAGACGCGGCGGGGCACAGAGUCCAGCAGUCAGGAGCGUCGGUGGCCGGCGAGGAAGCAGGAGGGAGUGGCGGUGCUGACGCCAUGGGCAGCAGAGAAGCAGGUGGCGGCGGGGGCUCUGUGUUGGGCAGCGGAAGAGAGAGGCCGGCGGCAGUGGCGGCUUGAGAUAGCAGUGGCAUCAGCGUCAGGAAAUGAAACUUUGUAGAGCUCACAGCAGGACAUUGGUGCAGGUGUUUUCUGGGGAAGAAGUGUCAGGUAUGGAACAAAUCCUGAUGCUUUUAACCUGGGCAGAGAAAGGAGGUGACCCAGACAGCAGGUGUACCAGGGAGCACAGGGGUGAAUCAGGGUUGGGACCUGUUAGGGUGAACGGCAGCUCCCCGAGGGUGUGUGAGUGUGUGUGUGUACAUAGGGUGAACGGCAGCUCCCUGAGGGUGUGUGUGAGUGUGUGUGUGUGUGUGUGUGUACAUAGGAUGAACAGCAGCUCCCCGAGGGUGUGUGAGUGUGUGUGUGUGUGUACAUAGGGUGAACGGCAGCUCCCCAAGGGUGUAUGUGAGUGUGUGUGUGUGUGUGUGUACAUAGGGUGAAUGGCAGCUCCCCGAGGGUGUAUGUGAGUGUGUGUGUGUGUACAUAGGGUGAAUGGCAGCUCCCCGAGGGUGUAUGUGAGUGUGUGUGUGUGUACAUAGGGUGAAUGGCAGCUCCCUGAGGGUGUAUAUGAGUGUGUGUGUGCAUGAGUGUGAGGGUGUUGUGACUGAGUGCUGUGGGAGUGUGUAUGUGUGAGGGUUGUGUAUGGCUGAGUGUGUGUAUGUAUGACUUGUGGGGGGUGAAACUGUGAGGGAAUGUGUUAUGUGUGGGGGAGGGUAUGAAUGUGGGGUGUGUGAGGUUGUUGUGACUGUGUGUGAGGGUGUGUGUUAUGUGUUUGAGGAGGGUUUGAGUAUGGGGUUGGUGCAUGUGUGUGAGGGUGUGUGUGAGUGUAGCUGUGUGUGACUUUGUGAAGGUGUGUGAGAUAGUGUGAGGGUGUGUAUUUUGUGUUUGGGGGAGAGUGUGGGGUGUGUGUGUGUAUAUAAGUGUGAGGGUGUUGUGACUGGGGCUGUGAGACAUUGUGAGGGUGUGUGUUAUGUGUGGGGGAAGGUAUGAGUGUGGAGUGAGUGUGAAUGUGUGUAUAAGAGUGUGAGGGUAUGAGUGAGGGUGUUGUGACUUCGGGUGUAUGUGUGACUGUGGGGGGUAUUAGCCAGUGUGAGAGUAUGUGUUGUGUUUGGGGAGAGUGUGAGUGUGGGGUGUGUGUGUGUGUGAAUAUGAGUGUAAGGAUGUGUGUGUGUGAGUAUGAAGGUGUUGUGACUGAGUGUGUGUGGGUGUGUAUGUGGGACCGUGUCAGGGGUGUGUUAUGUGGAGGGGAUGAGUGUGGGGUAUGUGUGAAUAUGAGUGUGAGGAUGUGUGUGAGUAUGAAGGUGUUGUGACUGUGUGCAGGUGUAUAUGUGACUAUAUGGAGGGAGUGUGAGACAGUAUGAGGGUGUGUGUUAUGGGGGGUAUAAGUGUGGAGUGGAUGUGUGUGUGUGUAAGGGUGUCUGUGUAUGAGUGAGUGUGUGAGGAUGUGUCACUGUGUGUGUGAGUGUGAGGCUGUGUGUAUGUGUGUGUGGACUAUUUAUUUUACCUUGUGAGACUAGUGUUAUUUACUCCUGGAGUUUGUUGUUAUUAUUAGAGUGACAGAGGGAGACAGAGCAAUCUCCCACCUGCCA